UUAUAAGUAAAAUUUAAUUUUUUAAUUAAAAAGUUAAAAUAAGUUAAAAAGACGAGAAGACCCUAUAGAGUUUUAUAAAUUAAUUAAAUUAAGAUUAUUUAAUUAUUAAGAUUAAAAUUAAAUUAUUUAUUGUAUUGGGGUGAUAAAAAAAUAAAUUUAACUUUUUUUAAAUUAAAAACAUUUAUAAGUGAUUAAGUGAUCCAAUAUUAUUGAUUAUAAGAAAAAAUUACCUUAGGGAUAACAGCGUAAUUUUUUUUUUUAGUUCAUAUAAAAAAAAGAGUUUGCGACCUCGAUGUUGGAUUAAGAUAAAAUUUAAAUGUAGAAG
rnacentral:rRNA from 1 species